AUACGGAGGGUGCAAGCGUUACUCGGAAUCACUGGGCGUAAAGCGCGCGCAGGCGGCUUGAUAAGUUGGAUGUGAAAGCCUACGGCUCAACCGUAGAACUGCAUCCAAAACUGUCAGGCUAGAGUGUGGGAGAGGAAGAUGGAAUUAGUUGUGUAGGGGUAAAAUCCGUAGAGAUAACUAGGAAUACCAAAAGCGAAUGCAAUCUUCUGGAACACUACUGACGCUGAGGCGCGAAGGCGUGGGGAGCAAACAGGAUUAGAAACCCCAGUAGUCC
rnacentral:rRNA from 1 species